AGUGAAGGCCUCAAAAAUAAUCCUAAUUUUGCCCGUUUUGUUUGCCUGCUCCAUCCACCCGAGACCCGCUAACCCAUCUGCCCAGCACAAUUUGUUCCUUAAUUUCUGCCGUUCAAUUCUCUUCCUCUGAAUUCAAAUUUCCAAUCAUGUGGAUUAACCUUGAUUAUCAUACUGAUCCGCGCUGGGAAAUUCUACAUUUAGCAUGCUGUUGAUCUCUUCCCACUCUUUAAUCCACUGUUUCAUUUACUCUGCUGAAAACCAUUAUUGGCAAUCAGUUUUUAUCUUAAUCAGCAAGCCAUGGAAACUGCUGAGAGUGAUUCAUCCGCACCGGGUAUGCUUUUAUAUGAUUGAUUUCGACAUCGCUUAAUACAACUUUCUACUCUUCCAUCAUGGAAAGUGCACGUAAUCAGGGAUUCAUGUUAGACUAUGAAUUUUAUCUUUCAAAAUUCAAACUGAAUUUCUUUGCUUGCUGUCAAAGGCUCCAGAUAAGAAAGUUUUUCUAAAUCUUACGCAUUCCAAAUAAGAAUGUUUAAUCUGAUUCUUUCCUUUACCAUUAAUUUCAGGGCUUCAAUCGAAUGAGCUAUAACCAAACCAGGGGAUUCGAUAUAAUCAAGGCUUCGAUUUACGUUUAAAGGUACAUCCUCUUUCAUCUUAUGUAUUGUGUGUAUAUUUGUGCCUUUGUUUUGGUUUUGUUGUAGAUAAUUUCUCAAUAUCGAUUUUGUAUGUUGAUGCAUUUGUAAGUUUUGAAUGACCUCUGGCCUCUUCCUUAGUCUCUCUCAGCUUGGCCUCUGUCCAAACUCUUUCCUGUGGAUGUCUGUAAGUCUCUUCCGAGAAACUUUGGUAAAACUCUGGAUUCGGCCAUCUAUUUCAUUUCGGUUAGGACUUUUCAAUUGAUUAUAGGUAUUGAUUUAAGGCUUCUUCAAAUUAUGGCUUUCUUAACCAAUUGCUUGACUGCGAUUUACAGGUCCUUCUGAUUGUGUCAAAUUAUCUCUAUCGUUUUGACCUGUUAAUGUUGUCACAGUCAUCAGUAGAACUCCGCUCGCUAACUACCACCAGCAUUUGUCGGGAGCUUUCAGUGCUGCUUCCAGUGAGACUGUAGACUCGCCUUCCCACACAAGACUCAUGCGUUACAAUCUUUUAUCUCACAGCCUCUUUUAUGGAUUCCAAGCUCAGCUUCUCCGAUAACAAGGAGAAUGAUACCGGUCGGAAACAAUGCUGGACUAAAAUUUCGAAUGAAAAUGCACUGGAGCACACGCGAAAUUCCCAUGGUACUGCUCUCGAUAGGUAUCUGCAUGAUCGGAUGAUUAGGAUUCAACAAAGCAAGACUUCAACUUCGCAUCCAAAUUCAGUGGUGGAGAAGCCAAAUACUAUUAGUAAAAAGCUCUUUACACUUGGAUAGAAUAUACUAUAUUUCUAUGAGUUGUGGCUGAGUGUCUUGGCUCUUUACACUCGAUAGUGAUGAACCUCCAGUACACGCUAUUGUCAUGCCUGCUAAGUGGAAUUCUUUAGCAAAGAUUCUAGCUGAAGGCAACCUGUGCAUUGUGUCAAAUUUUUAUAAUAGCUUCCAAAGCAUGGGACAGUUAGACUAAUCUCUCUGUUGUACUUGGAUAAGUGGCGCCUGAAGUUUGUAUUGCUGCGUGGUAGUUCAGGCUUCUAUACUUAUGCCAUUUAUGAACACUUGGGGUCAGAGGAAUGGCGUGGCUUCAGCAUUGGUGAAAGCAGAAUCACUUUCAAGCUAAGAAAAGACAAGUUUGAAUAUAUGGCUGUGGACGAUAAUAGGCAAAGAUGGAUGCCCCUGCCGGGUGAUCAUUUACCUAGGAGAAGUCAAAUUUCCUCUGCCGUUCAAUUCUCUUCCUCUGAAUUCAAAUUUCCAAUCAUGUGGAUUAACCUUGAUUAUCAUACUGAUCCGCGCUGGGAAAUUCUACAUUUAGCAUGCUGUUGAUCUCUUCCCACUCUUUAAUCCACUGUUUCAUUUACUCUGCUGAAAACCAUUAUUGGCAAUCAGUUUUUAUCUUAAUCAGCAAGCCAUGGAAACUGCUGAGAGUGAUUCAUCCGCACCGGGGCUUCAAUCGAAUGAGCUAUAACCAAACCAGGGGAUUCGAUAUAAUCAAGGCUUCGAUUUACGUUUAAAGGUACAUCCUCUUUCAUCUUAUGUAUUGUGUGUAUAUUUGUGCCUUUGUUUUGGUUUUGUUGUAGAUAAUUUCUCAAUAUCGAUUUUGUAUGUUGAUGCAUUUGUAAGUUUUGAAUGACCUCUGGCCUCUUCCUUAGUCUCUCGCAGCUUGGCCUCUGUCCAAACUCUUUCCUGUGGAUGUCUGUAAGUCUCUUCCGAGAAACUUUGGUAAAACUCUGGAUUCGGCCAUCUAUUUCAUUUCGGUUAGGACUUUUCAAUUGAUUAUAGGUAUUGAUUUAAGGCUUCUUCAAAUUAUGGCUUUCUUAACCAAUUGCUUGACUGCGAUUUACAGGUCCUUCUGAUUGUGUCAAAUUAUCUCUAUCGUUUUGACCUGUUAAUGUUGUCACAGUCAUCAGUAGAACUCCGCUCGCUAACUACCACCAGCAUUUGUCGGGAGCUUUCAGUGCUGCUUCCAGUGAGACUGUAGACUCGCCUUCCCACACAAGACUCAUGCGUUACAAUCUUUUAUCUCACAGCCUCUUUUAUGGAUUCCAAGCUCAGCUUCUCCGAUAACAAGGAGAAUGAUACCGGUCGGAAACAAUGCUGGACUAAAAUUUCGAAUGAAAAUGCACUGGAGCACACGCGAAAUUCCCAUGGUACUGCUCUCGAUAGGUAUCUGCAUGAUCGGAUGAUUAGGAUUCAACAAAGCAAGACUUCAACUUCGCAUCCAAAUUCAGUGGUGGAGAAGCCAAAUACUAUUAGUAAAAAGCUCUUUACACUUGGAUAGAAUAUACUAUAUUUCUAUGAGUUGUGGCUGAGUGUCUUGGCUCUUUACACUCGAUAGUGAUGAACCUCCAGUACACGCUAUUGUCAUGCCUGCUAAGUGGAAUUCUUUAGCAAAGAUUCUAGCUGAAGGCAACCUGUGCAUUGUGUCAAAUUUUUAUAAUAGGCAAGCAACUCGCAGACUUAGGCCUGUUUCUACCCCAAAGUGCCUGAUUCAUUUAAUUUUUAUAAACCUUUCGUCCACUCCUGCGUUUUUAUAAAUUUAUGGACAUUUCAAUUGGACUAAUGAAUCGACUGUGUUAAACUGCAGCUUCCAAAGCAUGGGACAGUUAGACUAAUCUCUCUGUUGUACUUGGAUAAGUGGCGCCUGAAGUUUGUAUUGCUGCGUGGUAGUUCAGGCUUCUAUACUUAUGCCAUUUAUGAACACUUGGGGUCAGAGGAAUGGCGUGGCUUCAGCAUUGGUGAAAGCAGAAUCACUUUCAAGCUAAGAAAAGACAAGUUUGAAUAUAUGGCUGUGGACGAUAAUAGGCAAAGAUGGAUGCCCCUGCCGGGUGAUCAUUUACCUAGGAGAAGUCAACCCGUUGCCUCUGGAGAAGCUGUCUGAUUAAUCAAUCCAGUAAAUCCCAAGCUUAAUGGAGAGAACUCUACUCUUCAUUUGUCUCAGAAUGCCGACAUACCAGGAACCUUCAAAUUAAUUACCAAAAGCGUGAAAAAGGGAGGGGCGGGUUGAUGCUGCACUGGCCCUGUUGGAUGAGAUGAGAAGCAACUCCUGUAAUGCGGAUAUAGUCCUCUUCAAUAUCUGUAUUGAUUCCUUUGGCAAGGUUGGUAAAGUGGAUAUGGCUUGGAUUUUCUUUCAUGAGAUGAGAACACAUGGCCUCAGUCCUGAUGAUGUCACAUAUAUCAGCAUGAUAGGAGUACUCUGCAAAGCUAAUAGAUUGGACGAAGCUGUGAAUAUGUAUGAGCAAAUGGAGCUGAACAGGAAAGUCCCAUGUGCAUAUGCUUAUAACACCAUGAUUAUGGAAUAUGGCCUGGCGGGAAAAGUUUGAUGAAGCAUACAAGUUACUCAAACAUCAAAGACUAAAGGGUGCAUUCCAAGUUUUGGGAUGUUAAUACAUGAAUGGAGAGCUGGGGUGAAAAAAGAGGCUAAAGCUACAUAUAAGCCUCAGUUGUUACUUGCUGCUGCUGCAUACUAUUAUGCCAAUGGUAAUUUUACUGGGAUUCCAGUAAAAUACCCUAGAGCUUCAAUUAGCAAAAAUAUGGAUUGGAUCAAUGCAAUGAAUUAUGACUAUUAUGGUAAGUGGACGCGAAAUGCCACUGGAAGCCAUGCAGCACUAUUAGAUUUAACAGGGAACUUGAGCACCUGUUAUGGCCUCAAGUCCUGGAUCAAAGCCGGGGUUCCAAGAAGAAAAGUGAUCAUGGGCUUGCCACUUUAGGGGAAGACUUGGAGCCUGAAAGAUCCGGAAGUGAGCUGACUUGGAGCCCCAGCUAUGGGUAUAGGUCCAGCGGCAGAAGGCAUACUGUACUAAAAUUCUCUGAAAUAGAGAAUCACAACCUGGCAAAUAAGGCUGCUGUGACACAUGACGCCGCAACUGUCUCUACUUAUUCAGUAGCAGGGAGUACAUGGAUUGGUUAUGAUGAUAUUGUAAUUUAGUUCGUUUUAUUUAACAGCCUAUACCUAAGAGUGUUUUUUGUAGUUGUAAGAUCAAUUGAAUUAACAGUGAGACCACAAGAUUUUGACAGUGGAUAUGAAAUGAC